UGGAUUUUUAGAUGGGGAUUAUCUGACUGGUACAUAUAUUUGGGUUUUUGCAGUCAUGAGAAUAUGUACUUUGUUGUAGUGAUCUUAUUAUUAACAUAAAGUUAUUUUCUUUUUCUAGUUACCGGGAAGACUCUGGCUGAAAAUGCCGCAAGUUUCCCUCCCUUGGCCACAGGGCAGGAUAUAAUAAGAUCUGUGGAAAACCCCAUAAAGAAAACAGGCCAUAUCCAAAUAUUAUAUGGAAAUCUUGCACCAAAUGGUUCCGUAGCAAAAAUCACUGGAAAAGAGGGGUUUUAUUUAUCUGGCCCUGCACUUAUCUUUGAAGGGGAGGAAUCUAUGAUUGCAGCUAUCUCAAAGGAUUCUUCGAGUUUUAAGGUAUGUGUUCUAGUCAAUAUUGUUGUAUAAUGCUCAAAUGGCACCUGAUUCGCUUACAAGAGCAAGGUGGAGGGUAAGAUCGUGGCUUUAAGGUCCACGGGGUACACAUAUAACUUACCAAUAAAAAAAGGUCAGAAACCAAGGUUACUUGAUUGAAUGCAAAGGUUUGGAGAAAACUGGGUCUCUGUUAUACCUCAUAGUUAACUUGGUUAUGAAAAUUUUUGCCCCUUUUAUCAAAACUUAAAGGAAAGAGGGGGGAAAACAAAACCUUCUUGUAUACAUGAGUUGCAACACCUAUUGUAUAUUUUCAAUGACAUGAUUUAAUUAAAAAAACAAAGAAAAAGAAAGAAAAGACUUGGAUUAUUAGGCUUGUUUCUUAGUGAAAAAAGAGCAUCAUAGCUGAGCACUGUUCUCCCCGAAAUAUGAUU